AAUAGCCUAACGGCUGAACCAGCAACUUGGAGGAAUGUAUAGCUAAUGCUAAAUGUAUUUUGUAAUAAUACAGAUUCGAUUUAUUCGUAUAAAGUUCUAGAUAGAAUUAUGAUAAUGACAUUGUCUAUCUAUAAGUCUUGGCCAAAUUACGUGCCAGCAGUCGCGGUAAGACGUAAAAGACUAGUGUUAUUCAUCUUUAAUAGGUUUAAAGCGUACCUAGACGGUAAAUCAAGCCUUAACCGGGACUAAUUUAACUAGAGUUAGAUGUAAGGGUGCAUUAACGUACUGUUGAGUGUAGAGAUGAAAUUCUUUUAUACCAGAUUAUUGGCACGGGUUUAGGCGAAAGCAUCACCUUAUGUAAUAACUGACGUUGAGGGACGAAGGCUUUGUGUCGCGAACAGGAUUAGGUACCCCAGUAGUCUAAGCAGAAAAUGAUGAGUGUCAUAGGUUAAAUAUUAUUUGGUCUAUAAAUGAAAGUGUAAGCAUUCCACCUCAAGAGUAAUUUGGCAACAUUGGAAUUGAAAUCAUUAGACCGUUUCUGAAACCAGUAGUGAAGUAUGUUGUUUAAUUUGAUAAUACACAAAAAACCUUACCACAAUUUGAAUAUUUUACAAGUGUUGCACGGCUGUCUUCAGUUAAUGUCGUGAGAUUAUGGUUAGUUCCAUUAAAUUAACGUAAACCCUUACUUUAUUUUAUAAAAUAUAAAGUUGUUCGCCGCWNGAUUGGUUAGAUAAAAGGGACUAAGACAAGUCAUCAUGGCCUUAA
rnacentral:rRNA from 1 species